UCGAAACCUGCCCAGCAGAACGACCAGCGAACAUGUUAUAAACACAAAUGGGGGAGUGGGUGAUGGCCUGUCCAGCCCCCCUCCCCUACGUCGGGGGGCACACCUYCGGGCGUGCUGCCCGACACAAUAACGAACCCCGGCGCGUAUGCGUCAAGGAAGAUCAACAUGAGUUUGCUCGUCCUUUGCCCGGGUUUCCGGCGCAUGGAUGUGGCACCCAAUCUAAGUCAUAAAAUGACUCUCGGCAACGGAUAUCUCGGCUCUCGCAUCGAUGAAGAACGUAGCGAAAUGCGAUACUUGGUGUGAAUUGCAGAAUCCCGUGAACCAUCGAGUUUUUGAACGCAAGUUGCGCCCGAAGCCUUCGGGCCAGGGCACGUCUGCCUGGGCGUCACGCAUAGCGUCUCACCCACCCCACCAUGCGCGGGGAGGGAGAGGAAGAUGGCCUCCCAAGCCUCACCAGGCGUGGAUGGCCUAAAAAAGGAGCCCCGGGUUACUUGUUGCCGCGGCGAUUGGUGGUAUACAUGGCAAUUGCCUAGGAAGCAUCGCGUCGUGCAAUGGGUAGCUCAUGCGGCCUCGUAGGACCCUCAUAAACCUUUGCGACCCCAG
rnacentral:sRNA from 1 species